UAGGGAAUCUUCCACAAUGGGCGCAAGUCUGAUGGAGCAACGCCGCGUGAGUGAAGAAGGGUUUCGGCUCGUAAAGCUCUGUUGUUAAAGAAGAACGUGGGUAAGAGUAACUGUUUACCCAGUGACGGUAUUUAACCAGAAAGCCACGGCUAACUACGUGCCAG
rnacentral:rRNA from 1 species